rnacentral:rRNA from 1 species
AGAGUUUGAUUCUGGCUCAGGAUGAACGCUGGCGGCAUGCCUAACACAUGUAAGUUGAACGAAGAUAUAAUUUUAAAUUUUUGAAAUUAUAAGCUGAGUAGCGGACGGGUGCGUAACGCGUGAAAAUCUGCCUUUAGGACGAGAAUAACUUUUGGAAACGAGAGCUAAUACUUGAUAUGCUGAGAAGUUAAAAGAUUUAUUAAUCGCCUAAAGAUGAGUUCGCGUCUGAUUAGCUAGUUGGUGAGAUAAAAGCUUACCAAGGCGACAAUCAGUAGUUGGUUCGAGAGGAUGACCAGCCACACUGGGACUGAGAUACGGCCCAGACUCCUACGGGAGGCAACAGUGGGGAAUUUUUUGCAAUGGGCGAAAGCCUGACAGAGCAAUGCCGCGUGGAGGAUCUUAAGGUCUGCGGAUCGUAAACUCCUUUUCUUAAGGAAGAUAGUGACGGUACUUAAGGAAUAAGCAUCGGCUAAAUAUGUGCCAGCAGCCGCGGUAAUACAUGUGAUGCAAGCGUUAUCCGGAAUGAUUGGGCGUAAAACGUCUGCAGGUGGUUUUGAAAGUCUAUUGUCAAAAACUAGAGCUUAACUUUAGCAAGGCAAUGGAAACUUCUUUACUAGCGUGGGGCAGGGGUAGAGGGAAUUACUGGAGGAACGGUGAAAUGUGCAGAUAUCAGUAAGAACACCAAAAGCGAAAGCACCCUACUGGGCCCAUACCGACACUCAGAGACGAAAGCUAGGGGAGCCAAUGGGAUUAGAUACCCCAGUCGUCCUAGCCGUAAACGAUGGCGAUUAAGUAUUGGUUUUGGAUACCCUUAUAUUCGAAAUCAGUGCUGUAGUUAACGCGUUAAAUCGCCUGCCUGGGAACUAUGCUCGCAAGAGUAAAACUCAAAGAAAUUGACGGGGGCUCGCACAAGCAGUGGAUGAUGUGGUUUAAUUCGAUUCAACGCGAAGAACCUUACCGGGGAUUGACAUACUACAAGCUAAUCUGGAAACAGUAAAAUCUAGUGUAGAAUACAGGUGGUGCAUGGCUGUCGUCAGCUCGUGUCGUGAGACGUAAGGUUAAGUCCUAUAACGAGCGCAACCCUUGUGGCUAGUUACUUCUACCUAUAUUCCCCGUUUUUUAAAGAGUUUUUAAAUUUUGUUAUUUUUUGGCUUUGGCUUUAAAUUAAUACCGUUUAAAUUUUUUUUGGAAGCGAUAGGGCAGAAAAGUAGUCAGACUGCCAGUGAUAAACUGGAGGCAGGUGAGGAUGACGUCAAGUCAGCAUGCCCCUUAUAUCCCGGGCUACACACGCCAUACAAUGGUUGAGACAAAGGGAUGCUACCUUGCAAAAGCAUGCAAAUCUCAUAAACUCAAUCUUAGUUCGGAUUGUAGGCUGCAACUCGCCUGCAUGAAGCCGGAAUUGCUAGUAAUCGCAGGUCAGCUAUACUGCGGUGAAUACGUUCCCGAGCC